CCAAAGGCUGAUGUCUUGCUGCAGAAGGGAGUUUGUUGCAAAGGCUGAGCAGCUCCAAGCCGCUCUCUGGAGGGGCAGAGCACAGGUUCCUUGCCUUGCCAGCAGGUCCUUGUAGGAUUUUGGCUCUGGGCUGUGUGUCUGAGGCUGAGCCAGGUGCCCCCCUGCUCCGUGUUGGGUCCCAUGAGACAGGCAGGACCACCCUGUCCUUCCCACCCGGGGCCACAGCACCCCCCUCUGCCCCCGCUGACUGGGACGCCUCUCCAGCACCCCGAAGGAAGCUGCAGAGCUCUGCUGCCACGUGCAUGAGUGGAAAGCAGAGGAGAGGCCAAAGCCCAGUGUGCCCCUGGCAUCCGAUCCCCCAGCAUCCUGCCUUCAUCUGACCCAGGUGCUCUGUGUGGAUUGGACUCUGGGAAAAGCUGUGUGCGAAGGAUGCUUGGUCAGAGGAGCUCCCACUGUGCCAGGGCUGACAGAGCAAGUGGAGAGACCAUGGAAAUAGCAGUUUUCUGUCAAAACACCUUUUCAACAGCAAGCCCUGAAGAGCGUUUAUUCUUAGCGAUCUUUUAUUAAACCAAAAUUCUGCUGGGAAAUGAUCCUGCUGGUUAAAGUCCUCCCU
rnacentral:lncRNA from 1 species